rnacentral:ncRNA from 1 species
AGGUUCACUCCUUUGUGAUUAAAAGGGAAUCGGGUGAAAGUCCCGAACAGUCCCGCUGCUGUGAGUUGUCCUUAUUCGCCGGCACAAGAAGCCACUGGUAAUCACCGGGAAGGCGUGCCGGAAGAGACAACGAAGUCAGAAGACCUGCCAUUGCGC